rnacentral:rRNA from 1 species
AGAUUGAACGCUGGCGGAAUGCUUUACACAUGCAAGUCGAACGGCAGCACGGGACUCAGGCAACUGAGCCCUGGUGGCGAGUGGCGAACGGGUGAGUAACAUAUCGGAACGUACCCAGUCGUGGGGGGAUAACUCUCCGAAAGGAGAGCUAAUACCGCAUACGUCCUGAGGGAGAAAGCGGGGGACCUAAGGGCAACUGAGGGCCUCGCGCGAUUGGAGCGGCCGAUAUCGGAUUAGCUAGUUGGUGGGGUAAAAGCCCACCAAGGCGACGAUCUGUAGCUGGUCUGAGAGGACGACCAGGCCACACUGGAACUGAGACACGGUCCAGACUCCUACGGGAGGCGGCAGUGGGGAAUUUUGGACAAUGGGCGAAAGCCUGAUCCAGCAAUGCCGCGUGAGUGAUGAAGGCCUUAGGUUGUAAAGCUCUUUUACCCGAGAUGAUAAUGACAGUAUCGGAGAAUAAGCCCGGCUAACUCCGUGCCAGCAGCCUG